rnacentral:rRNA from 1 species
UACGGGGGGGGCAAGCGUUGUUCGGAAUUACUGGGCGUAAAGGGCUCGUAGGCGGCCAACUAAGUCAGACGUGAAAUCCCUCGGCUUAACCGGGGAACUGCCUCUGAUACUGGAUGGCUUGAGAUUGGGAGAGGGAUGCGGAAUUCCAGGUGUAGCGGUGAAAUGCGUAGAGAUCGGGAAGAACAUCGGUGGCGAAAGCGCUCUACUGGACCGCAACUGACACUCAGGGACGAAAGCUAGGGGAGCGAAUGGG